ACCCUACGGGGCGCAGCAGUGAGGAAUAUUGGUCAAUGGGCGGGAGCCUGAACCAGCCAAGUCGCGUGAGGGAUGACGGCCCUAUGGGUUGUAAACCUCUUUUGCCGGGGAGCAAAGUGCCGCACGUGUGCGGUUUGGAGAGUACCCGGAGAAAAAGCAUCGGCUAACUCCGUGCCAGCAGCCGCGGUAAUACGGAGGAUGCGAGCGUUAUCCGGAUUUAUUGGGUUUAAAGGGUGCGCAGGCGGUCUGUUAAGUCAGCGGUCAAAGCCCGGGGCUCAACCCCGGCCCGCCGUUGAAACUGGCAG
rnacentral:rRNA from 1 species